rfam:Triticum aestivum genome assembly, contig: Triticum_aestivum_CS42_TGACv1_scaffold_640770_T_3B-0.201250_2BL-0.195981
AAAAUACUCCCUCCGUCCGAAAAUACUUGUCAUCAAAAUGGCCGAAAAGGGAUGUAUCUAGAACUAAAAUAUAUCUUGAUACAUCACCUUUUAUUAAUUUUGAUGACAAGUAUUUUUGGACGGAGGAGUACUAC